rnacentral:rRNA from 1 species
GAUGAACGCUGGCGGCGUGCCUAAUACAUGCAAGUCGAGCGAACGGACGAGAAGCUUGCUUCUCUGAUGUUAGCGGCGGACGGGUGAGUAACACGUGGAUAACCUACCUAUAAGACUGGGAUAACUUCGGGAAACCGGAGCUAAUACCGGAUAAUAUUUUGAACCGCAUGGUUCAAAAGUGAAAGCCGGUCUUGCUGUCACUUAUAGAUGGAUCCGCGCUGCAUUAGCUAGUUGGUAAGGUAACGGCUUACCAAGGCAACGAUGCAUAGCCGACCUGAGAGGGUGAUCGGCCACACUGGAACUGAGACACGGUCCAGACUCCUACGGGAGGCAGCAGUAGGGAAUCUUCCGCAAUGGGCGAAAGCCUGACGGAGCAACGCCGCGUGAGUGAUGAAGGUCUUCGGAUCGUAAAACUCUGUUAUUAGGGAAGAACAUAGGUGUAAGUAACUGUGCACAUCUUGACGGUACCUAAUCAGAAAGCCACGGCUAACUACGUG